UACGUAGGGUGCGAGCGUUGUCCGGAAUUAUUGGGCGUAAAGGGCUCGUAGGCGGUUUGUCGCGUCGGGAGUGAAAACGCCGUGCUUAACACGGCGCUUGCUUUCGAUACGGGCAGACUAGAGGUAUGCAGGGGAGAACGGAAUUCCUGGUGUAGCGGUGAAAUGCGCAGAUAUCAGGAGGAACACCGGUGGCGAAGGCGGGUCUCUGGGCCGAUACUGACGCUGAGGAGCGAAAGCUAGGGGAGCAAACAGG
rnacentral:rRNA from 1 species